GACAUCCCGGAGACCUUAGGAACUAGGGGGUGCUUCCAUCUGGAAGAAUCUGGAGACAGGUGCUGCAUGGCUGUCGUCAGCUCGUGUCGUGAGAUGUUGGGUUAAGUCCCGCAACGAGCGCAACCCUUGCCUUUAGUUGCCAGCAGUUCGGCUGGGCACUCUAAAGGGACUACCGGUGACAAACCGGAGGAAGUGGGGACGACGUCAAGUCAUCAUGGCCCUUAUGUCCUGGGCUACACACGUGCUACAAUGGCCGGUACAGAGUGAAGCGAAACCGCGAGGUGAAGCAAAACGCAGAAAGCCGGUCUCAGUACGGAUUGGAGUCUGAAACUCGACUUCAUGAAGUUGGAAUCGCUAGUAAUCGCGCAUCAGCAUGGCGCGGUGAAUACGUUCCCGGGCCUU
rnacentral:rRNA from 1 species